rnacentral:lncRNA from 1 species
AAUUAGAAGAAGACAAAGUAAUCAAAACUCUAGAAAUGUCUUAAAUCAAUCAUUUUCUUCCAAAAAAGAUAAUCCCCUACAAAAGGGGAUCUGUAAAUUGGGAUCAAACCUUCAAAGAAGUCUUAACUGAAGGAAAAUGUCGUUAAGAAUAGCCUUUACUAGUGCUACUGAAUGAGGGUGAUCUUAAAUUUAGGCCUGACCCAUUUGAAAUAACAAUUACGUAUUUAAACUAUCAAUAAUAUAAAAGUAUGUCUAGCUAGUUAACAGAACUAGACAAUUCCCUGAGGAAAUCUUAGUUCAGACAGAAUAUUUAGAUAUCUUUCAUAAUGAUGAAAACAAGAAGAAAACUAGGUUUAACAAAGCCUUUAUUCAGAGGGUAAUCAAUCUCAAUGAAUGAGGACUAAAUCCUAAUGUCAAUUGAACAAUUGUUAGUAAAAUAACACAAGAGAAGAAAACUACAUUGGUGAGAAAAAGUAAUAAUCGGAGAAAUCCACUGAUAUCCUAGAAAGAAUUAAAGAAAAAAAUUCUAGAAGUUAUGACGCAAUUCUGUAAAGAAGAUGAAGGUGAAUCCAUGAAGCCAGAACAAAUUCCAUAAGCUCAGAAAAUGAAAGGUCUAAUAGGAAAAUGAUACUGAUGACGAGAACUAUACGACAUUAAGACACUGAGGACUUGUUGGGAAUGAUAAAGCUAUAUUCACGAGCCCAAGGAUCAAUUCAGCCCAAGAGGAAAGGAAAGAGAAUCAUUGUCAAGUGACAAACGACAAUUUUUAAGACUUUUUCCAUGAUUGAUGCACUCAUGGGAAGAGUGUAUGAUUGAUGCACCCAUGGGAAGAGUGUAUGUGAAACUAAAAGUUCCCAAGAGUGUAUAUGAAACUUCAAGUUCCCUAAGACUUGUGCUUCAGAAUCGUGAAAAACUUCGCGGAGUUAAAGUUUGCUAAGUUUUAUGUUGUAGUCACGUGAAAGACUCCCUAAAAGAUUCUUGAAGUUAGAAAUCAACUCAAAUUCAAGUCAGGAAUGCUCCUAGAGAAGAUGUGGCCAAUCUUAUGGGGAUUGGAAAAUCUCCGUAGUUUUUAUAUUUUUUACUUUGGAAAUUUCAGUUUUAUCCCUAGUUCUCUUGUACUUCCAAAAAUCUAUGCUGUAAUUACAAGUUCAAUCUUUUGUAAUAUAUACUUCAUUUUCGAAGAACUUGUACUUUCAAAAAUCUAUGCUGUAAUUACAAGUUAAAUCUUUUGUAAUAUAUACUUCAUUUUCGAAGAAUUUUUAGUGACAUCCCAUUGUAUUAUAUCCUUCAUUUUCGAAGAAUUUUGAGUGGCUUUCCUAGCACAAUCCUAGAUCCAUAGCUUUUUGUAGCAUAUCUUGCAUCAAAUAUGGAUCCUUGUAGCUUUUCAGAUCAGAUUUUUGCUUCAUUGUAGUAUGAAAUAAAUAUGUGUUCAUGUUUAUGCCCAUGUGAUGGUUUUUGUUUAAGUAAAACAAAGAUGGAACAUUGAGGACUCAAAUACCUUAUACCGAUCCAGCUACUUUUAAUGAGAAAACCAGCAUUUCAGUUUAUCAAAAUAUUAAUGAGA